GGUGAGUAACGCGUGAGUAACCUGCCUUUCAGAGGGGGAGUAACGUUCUGAAAAGAACGCUAAUACCGCAUGAGACUACAGAGCUGCAUGGCUCAGUGGUCAAAGGAGCAAUCCGCUGAAAGAUGGACUCGCGUCCGAUUAGAUAGUAGGCGGGGUAACGGCCCACCUAGUCGACGAUCGGUAGCCGGACUGAGAGGUUGAACGGCCACAUUGGGACUGAGACACGGCCCAGACUCCUACGGGAGGCAGCAUG
rnacentral:rRNA from 1 species